GAUGAACGCUGGCGGCGUGCCUAAUACAUGCAAGUCGAGCGAACGGACGAGAAGCUUGCUCCUCUGACGUUAGCGGCGGACGGGUGAGUAACACGUGGAUAACCUACCUAUAAGACUGGGAUAACUUCGGGAAACCGGAGCUAAUACCGGAUAAUAUCUUGAACCGCAUGGUUCAAUAGUGAACGCCGGCUUUGCUGUCACUUAUAGAUGGAUCCGCGCUGCAUUAGCUAGUUGGUAAGGUAACGGCUUACCAAGGCAACGAUGCGUAGCCGACCUGAGAGGGUGACCGGCCACACUGGAACUGAGACACGGUCCAGACUCCUACGGGAGGCAGCAGUAGGGAAUCUUCCGCAAUGGGCGAAAGCCUGACGGAGCAACGCCGCGUGAGUGAAGAAGGUCUUCGGAUCGUAAAACUCUGUUAUUAGGGAAGAACAUAUGUGUAAGUAACUGUGCACGGCUUGACGGUACCUAAUCAGAAAGCCACGGCUAACUACGUG
rnacentral:rRNA from 1 species